ACACUCACGCACACACGCACUCAUGUAUGCACAUAAAAAUUGAAUAAAAUGCUGAUGGCAAUAAAACUCCACCUAUAUGGUAGCAAAAAACGAGAGAUUCCUCAGGUUUGAAAUCUAGCAUUUAAUGGGAAAAUAACUCAUUUCUUUCUAUUCAUCAAGCCCCGCAAACCCAAAGACAAACAAAAUAUUCAGCAACCACUAAAUGCUCUAAGGAACUAAUUGUCUGUUAUACCCGACUCACUAGAUCGGUUCUGAAAGUCCCCACUGGUGAAGAUAUAAUAGGCUAUUCAUUCUUUUAGUACAAAAGCUGACAAACAGGUCAGAAGUAAGCAAAGGAGAACAAAGAGAGGAGUGAGUCCUUUACAGGCAGCGGCAGAGGACACUGGGGUGACAAGCAGCAGGCUCCAUUUCUAAAGGAGCACCGCUAACCUGCCUGGCAGACACAGCCCUGUAGACCAGUAGCAAAGGACCAUUUAUAGCCCAGUUCCCACGAGGGCACGGCUGUGCUCUGCACGGCAUAUCAGCUGAGGGACAGAGAGUUUAUUGUUGAACAAUGGUACCAGCUACCCGCAGGAAGUAGGGCGAAUGUCUGGGUUAGUGACACGAGUGACUUCAUUGAUCUGACCUGGUAAUGAAAGCAUUACCCAAGACGUUUCCGUUUUUAAUGUUUAUGCUGAGAUUUUGCUUCAGGGAGCAAGCUUGACGGGAGCAAAAUAUCCACCUUCCUGUGAGGACAAAGGACUCUGAGAUGCCUCGGUCACUGCAGGGGACUCUAAUUGUAAAGCUAACAGCUGCUUGUUUGGAAAAGGUUCAGAAACUCUUCCUUUGUUUUUGGAUCACCAAUAAUCUGAGAGAAAGCAGCUCUUAGUGUUUUGUUGUUUAUCUGUGUUUUCCCAACCUGUGUGCCAGGGUGCUCUGGGAGGGACAUCGUACUAAAGUCUGAGUGCCACUCUAGGCUUGGCAGCAGACGUCUUCCAUCAUGAGGGACGCCUGCACAGCGUUGUGCCAAUGGCAGUUGGAAGCAGGUCGUGCUUCCGCGUUAAACAUGCCACAUUCCUUCUGAUGACCUCAUCGCACGGCUGAAGCGAGUUCUGCAAGUUGCUUGUCGAACAGGAAGUGAGGGGGUAGGAGUUACGCUGAUGGUGCAGUCUGAGGUUCUGCAAUACUAACAGAUGGAGAGACGCUCCAUUAAUAAAUUACUACAAGGUUAUUUAACGAAGGAAAUAAAAAUAGUGUUUCUUACUGUGUGUGUUUUUCCAGCAGUGACUAAGCCAUUAGUACAUAGUUAUGUUUCUGUUUGGAUUCAAACAAUGUAACAAACAGCACUAUUAAGUAUUUGUAUUUGUCUGAGACAAAAUACAAAUAUUGAAGUAUUCACUGCUUCUCUAACGAGCUUCAAACACUGUUUGGGAACCUUUAAUAUAUGUAUGUCUCACCCCAUGACACCCACAUUCAGUUUUGAAUUGAUUGUUUUGUUUUGUUUAAUGUAUUAUGUAAGUCUGCAUGUUGGUAGUAUAGAUUAUUAUUUCAACUUUGUAAUAAAUGAUUUUCUUUUA